rnacentral:rRNA from 1 species
AACGAACGCUGGCGGCAGGCCUAACACAUGCAAGUCGAGCGAACCCUUCGGGGUUAGCGGCGGACGGGUUAGUAACGCGUGGGAAUAUACCCUUUGGUACGGAAUAGCCUCGGGAAACUGAGGGUAAUACCGUAUGUGCCCUUCGGGGAAGAUUAUCGCCAAAGGAUUAGCCCGCGUUGGAUUAGAUAGUUGGUGGGGUAAUGGCCUACCAAGUCUACGAUCCAUAGCUGGUUUGAGAGGAUGAUCAGCAACACUGGGACUGAGACACGGCCCAGACUCCUACGGGAGGCAGCAGUGGGGAAUCUUAGACAAUGGGCGCAAGCCUGAUCUAGCCAUGCCGCGUGGACGAUGAAGGCCUUAGGGUUGUAAAGUCCUUUCAGAUGGAAGGAUAAUGACGGUACCAUCAGAAGAAG